GCACUCACCAUGUGUGCGUGAAACCAGAGUCGUAAGGACUUAAGGAGCACGUCACUUCAGGGAUCAGAUUACACUAAGGAGACACAGUUCCUCCGUCUUCUGCCGUCUCCUGUGCCUGGCAUGUCGCACCUUGGCCAGUCCCCCUGCCACUCCCAGUGAGUGACAGUCUCGUCCCAGUUGGCUGUUGAAGGACUCAAGGCCAGAGACAUGCUGCUUGAUCUGGGUGUGGGGAUCCCCAGCCCAGGUGCAGAAUAUGCAGACGACAUUUUACUCAUGUGAUCUGACUGACAGGAAGAACUACCCAGACAGAAGCAAGCAUGGAGACCUUC